CCUACGGGAGGCAGCAGUGGGGGAUAUUGGACAAUGGGGGGAACCCUGAUCCAGCGACGCCGCGUGAGUGAAGAAGUAUUUCGGUAUGUAAAGCUCUGUCAGCAGGGAAGAAAGAAAUGACGGUACCUGACCAAGAAGCCCCGGCUAACUACGUGCCAGCAGCCGCGGUAAUACGUAGGGGGCAAGCGUUAUCCGGAUUUAUUGGGUUUAAAGGGUGCGCAGGCGGAAGCGGCAAGUCAGCGGUAAAAUUGCGGGGCUCAACCUCGCCGAGCCGUUGAAACUGCUCUUCUAGAGUGGGCGAGAAGUAUGCGGAAUGCGUGGUGUAGCGGUGAAAUGCAUAGAUAUCACGCAGAACUCCGAUUGCGAAGGCAGCAUACCGGCGCCCAACUGACGCUCAUGCACGAAAGCGUGGGUAUCGAACAGGAUUAGAUACCCGGGUAGUC
rnacentral:rRNA from 1 species